GCAGGCUGGCCACCCAGUAAUCAGCACAAGUUAGAAUGUGGGCAACUCGGCAGUCGUUGUGCAGGCACUUUGGUGACUCUAGAUAACCUCGGGCCAAUCGCACGUCCCCAUGAUGGCGACGACGCAUUCGGUUGUCUGCCCUAUCAACUUUCGAUGGUACUUUCUGCGCCUACCAUGGUGACCACGGGUAACGUGGAAUCAGGGUUCGAUUCCGGAGAGGGAGCCUGAGAAACGGCUGCCACAUCCAAGGAAGGCAGUAGGCGCGCAAAUUAACCACUCCCGAUGCGGGGAAGUAGUGAC
rnacentral:rRNA from 1 species